GCUUACCAACAUUAUGUCAAAUCCAUCCCCAAUCAUUAAAAAAAGAUGUCCUGUAUCUAGAAAUUAAAAAGCUUAUAAGGUAGCAGAAUGCAUAGUAAUACUACGCCUCUUACAAGUUCAAAAAGUGUAAAGCAAUAAAAAAGCUUAUGGCCAAUACAUUGGCAUCAUGAUCCUUGACUCCUUGUCAUGACUUUACCAGGUUCAAAGAGCAAUAAAGCAAACACAUACAUUACCAAGAUUCAAAAUCAGUCCUCAACAAGAUAACCAUAAAAAACCACCAUAUAACCGUAACCCACAACUUGUCAACCAUUAGUAUCUCCUACUAGGGUAGCGAUCCACAAAACGACCUGAAGGGCACUCAUAUGCCAAGUGACCACGACCUCCACAAUUAUGACAAAUCAUCAAGGGCCCCAUGCAGUCCCGACUCAUGUGACCAAAUUGCUGGCAGUUCCUGCACACGACAUCACGGUAACCACCACCACCACCAGCAGCAACACCACCACCAGCACCACGGAAGCUGCCUCUGCCUCUGUGGUCUCCAAUAACGUCGGAUUUUGGACAUUGUCUAGCCAAGUGUCCAGAAACAUUGCACACAUUGCAAAUUGGGUCAUUUGGACAAUCACGUGCCAAGUGCCCUGUUUUCCUACAAUUAUUGCAAGCCUUCUCGUUGGUACAUUCAGCAGCAAUGUGGCCCUGCUUAUAGCAAUUAUGGCACAACCUUAGGUCCCCUGGAGGCAGUGAUGGAGCUGAGCACUCCCUAGCACGGUGGCCAGUUUUACCACAGGUGUGGCAAAUGCCCUCAUUUGGACAAUUGCUGGCCAUGUGGCCAGAUUCUUUGCAAUUCCAGCACACGGAUUUUGUGGAGCAUUCAGAAGCAAUGUGCCUGAUUAAACAUAAAAGGAAAAAAAAAA
rnacentral:lncRNA from 1 species